GAGUUCUUGGAAGAAGAUUUUGCACAUGCUUCCUCAUCAAAGAUGCAGCGGAGAAGGCGAUUACGUGUGCAAUGUAACCCCUUCGAUUUAGAGGAUGCUGAGUUUAUCAAACGGUACCGGUUGACGAAAGAUUUCGCGCAAAGUUUGUGCGAUGAGCUCGCACCUACCAUGAAGAAUCCCACUAAAUCUACCGAUUUAUCUGUAGGGACUAAGGUAUUGACUGCGUUGUCAUUUUAUGCGACUGGGUCAUAUCAACGUCCUACAGGUAAUAUUGAAGGACAUUCCAUGGCUCAGCAGACAGUUUCCUCUUCAAUAGCCUUACUGCUUGCCUCAACUCUAUGGAAAUGAGGCAGAAAUAUAUUUCAUUCCCCUCUACCGAACAAGAACGAAACAGAAUAAAAACAGAAUUCUACAAUAAAUUCAAUAUUCCGGGG